UACGUAGGUCCCAAGCGUUGUUCGGAAUCACUGGGCGUAAAGGGUGCGUAGGCGGUUUGGUAAGUCAGAUGUGAAAUCCCGGGGCUCAACCCCGGAACUGCAUCCGAUACUGCCAGACUUGAGGACUGGAGAGGUGACUGGAAUUCUCGGUGUAGCAGUGAAAUGCGUGGAUAUCGAGAGGAACACUCGUGGCGUAAGCGAGUCACUGGACAGUAUCUGACGCUGAGGCAC
rnacentral:rRNA from 1 species